AUUGAACGCUGGCGGCAUGCCUUACACAUGCAAGUCGAACGGCAGCACGGGAGCUUGCUCCUGGUGGCGAGUGGCGAACGGGUGAGUAAUGCAUCGGAACGUGCCCUGAAGUGGGGGAUAACGUAGCGAAAGUUACGCUAAUACCGCAUAUUCUGUGAGCAGGAAAGCAGGGGAUCUUCGGACCUUGCGCUUUUGGAGCGGCCGAUGUCGGAUUAGCUAGUUGGUGGGGUAAAGGCCCACCAAGGCGACGAUCGGUAGCCGAACUGAGAGGUUGAUCGGCCACAUUGGGACUGAGACACGGCCCAGACUCCUACGGGAGGCAGCAGUGGGGAAUAUUGGGCAAUGGGCGAAAGCCUGACCCAGCAACGCCGCGUGAAGGAAGAAGGCCCUUCGGGUUGUAAACUUACUUUGAACAGGGACGAAAAAAUAGACGGUACCUGAAAACAAGACCACGGCUAACUACGUAGCCAGCAGCCGCGGU
rnacentral:rRNA from 1 species